GGAGGUAGCUCACGGCGGACAGCAUUUGUUGGAACUUGCCUCGGGCCUCCUCCUCCUCCACUAUGUGGUGGUCAAGCCAGUUGGCCAGGCUUCCUCCCGCAGCAUAUUCUAAAACGAAAUGGCACGCCUCUCUGCUGUUAAUCAUUUGGUAAAGGUUAAUGAUGUUGCCGUGGCGGACCGACUGUAAAACAGUCAUCUCUCUGUGGCUAGAGAGGAAGCCGGUUCUGUUGAUUGUUUUCACCGCCACCCGGAUGCCAGUCAUUAAGUGGCGGGCCAGCGUGACCUCCCCAAAGGCACCACGGCCUAUAAAGUUUAGUAUUUGAUAAUAAGGUGGCUGCAGGGCAGGUGAGGUGGAGGCCAAGCCCUGCCUCAUGGUGCCUACUUUGUCUACACUAACUAUAUACAAAUAACUACUCUAACUCUAUGGACUACGCUAAAAUAUUAACAAUACUAAUUAUCCCAAAGAACACUAAAAUGCUAAGAAACAGUACCAACUAUAUUAACUAUACUAACUAAAAAACACAACAACGCCCCUCCCACAAAAACUCCCCCCACCCCGCCAAACAACUCGUAAUAAUCGCUAAGCUGGUCUGAGUCCACAGGUCACCAAAAAAGCUUCCAGGGAUUUCUCAGACCAAAAACCAUGACCCAGCCAGGGCCUUAUAUAGGCCUGUCUGUUAUGACAUCACAAAGGCUUUUCAUGAGCUCAGAGCAAAGCAGGGGCCAAUCAUGGCUGGGGAUCUUUCACAGAGGUUUUCUCUCUUUUGGUCCCCAAAACAUCUUCCUCUUUUAAAAAGUAAGUGCUUUUGUCUAGAUGGGUUAUAGAGGUUGAUAUUUCGUUUCCCAGCUAUUUAAACUGGUACAACACUUCAACAGCAUUUUCAUUUGUAGUUUCUUUUUCUAUAUUUAUUGUACUCUCAAGUUCUGGGGUACAUGUGUAGAUUGUGCAGGUUUGUUACAUAGGUUUAACGUGCCAUGGUGGUUUUCAAUCAUUUGUAAUUUCAAAAUCUGAAAUAGCUUUUGGAUUUUGAAGAACUCCUAAUGUCUACAUGCAACAUAUUCAAUUCCUUUUCUUUCAUCUCUCAAUGGUUGAGAAGGGAGAGAAUAUUUUCCUUUCCUUGUAGGGUUUUUCCUUCCUCAUGUGGUUGAGAUUAUGUAAUGGACAGAGAAGAAACAGACAUACCCUACCCUCCAUGAGCCCAUAGCCUCUUCAGGAAGGCCCCCCCAGACAUGAAGCUCCUUCAGCGUGAGAAGCACCAGGUGAAGUGGGGGCCAAAGAGUGGCCUGGGCCUCAGGUCAGCGCUGGUGAGGGAAGAAGUGGGGCUUUCUGGAGGCCAGUGUGCUGAGCCCUGCGGUGUGAGGAGGGAUCGCCUAACAUGACCCUCCAGUGCCUUCAUCGGUCUCCACAGAGCUCAUCCUGGUAGAGGAUGUGAGGGUGAGCCUGGAAGAGGUGACCUUCUAGGACCGUCUUGGCUUCCAGAUACAGCCCAUGCCCUGCCGGCUGCCUGGGUAAGACCCACCAGGGGACCCCCUCACUCUCCAAAACACAGCCCAACUCUCCCUGAAUCUGCCUCCUGCCGGUGGAGCUCCACUUCAGGAAAAACUCAGGUGACUUCUUCCUCAAUACCAGUGCUGUGGAUGACAUCAAGAUGGCCUACCAGGAAACCAGGGCCAUCACCAUGGGUGUCACUCUGUAACCCAGGCUGGAGUGCAGUCCUGCUAUCUCAGCUCACUGCAACCUCUGCCUCCCAGGCUGAAGUCAUCCUCCCACCUUGGCCUCUUGAGUAGCUGGGAUUACAGAUGGGUGCCACCACAGCCAGCUAAUUUCUGUAUUUUACCUAGCUAUGGUGGCAACAUGACGGGGUUUUGCCUUGUUGCCAGGAUAGUCUAAACCUCCUGAGCUCAGCAAUCCACCAGCCUCGACCUCCCAAAGUUCUGGGAUUACAGGUCUGAGCCACUACUGUGCCCGGCUGGAUCAGGCACUUUCUAGACCUUACUAAAAUCUGUGUCUUGGAUUUUGCUUUCCUCUACUGCUAGGCGAGGUCCAUACAGCUACCCAUGAUUGACUCUGAAAGUUGUUGAUACAUGGCAGUGCAUUGAGAAAGUUCACACCUCACAGUGAAUUUAUGAAAUGUGAGCAUAAAUUAAAUAACUGGUUUCAUUGGCCCUCCAUAUAUCUUUCUUUCUAAAAUUCUUAAUAAAGUAUGGUUAUUCUGUAUGCCAAUGCAUACAGAUUUUAACAUUUGGAUAUAUGCUGCUUUGAAAACUAGGAUAUGGUUUCUAAGACUCUUUCAUUGAGUUUAACUCCUAACAUUCAGCGUAAAUAUGAGUUAUGAAUCCCAGUUUGUACCCGAGCCUUGCUCUCCCUCCCUGAGCCCCGCACUCUGCCCUGGGCCCUUUCUUGGCAAGUGGACAGAUAAAUGGAGCCGCUGGGGGUGGGAGUGCUGGACUGGGAAUCAGAUUUGAAGUAUAGUCUAAAUGCCCCACGGGCCCACCGCUUCUCAAUAGCUCAAAGCUGCCCCAGCCGGUUUCCACAACAACCUCAAAUCAGACAAUGAUCCUUAGUUGGCCAGAACCUAUUAGUAAAGGUCAAAGGGGUUGGGGCUGAGGCCAAACGUAAUGGUGACGUCAUAGUCACAGGCUGAAGAGUAAGCCAGAAUUUUCCACUUCAGGUGAUGGUAUUGGUGGUGCCACUUCCAGAGGGGGCACAGCAGCUUGGCAGAGGGAUGGACUCACAGGGGCUCUUAGGGAGCUCAAGUGGGGCCCACAGAGACCUUCUCUCUGGGGUUGCAAACUGGCAUUGGGUGGAGGGAGAGUCAGUAUUCACACCUGGGGAAGCCUCGCCCCCAAAGUGGAUUUUAAGGACAGCAUCACACUGGGGAGACAAGGGCCCCACAACACUCCCACCCUUUCCCCAGCCUGCUUCGUGCUUCCUGGUCCUGCUCUUUACUGGGGAAGGAGAAUCUUAUCUGAAUGGUGGAACUCCAGUACCAUCCCUGGCCAGCAUCAGUAGUGGGCAGGGUCACUGCAUGCUCAAGGCUGUGCACACUGAGCCCCAGCCAUGCACGAGGGCGGUGCCUUCUGGACCUUCCUCAGGCUCCCUAGGGACCCAUGAGGAAGCUCCCUGAUGGGUGCUGAUGGUUGUCUGUACCAACAGAUUCACUGCCUGGCACAGAAACACCGGGUUCCUGGGAAGCUGGAACCUGCCUUAUGAAAGCCCCCAUUUCCAUCACCCCCUCCAUCCCUCGGGGCUGCUGGGUCUUGCCAUCAACGCUCUCCUCACACCCAGGACACCUGCCUAUUUCAAAAGCACCCCUUCAACCAGGCCCUAGCUGAAGGCUCAUUCCUCCAUCAGGCCUCUGAGGGGUACUGCUUUGUGCUGCUGUUAUCAAAAAGGGGAAACCAUUCACAGCAGAAAGACCAAUGCCACACUAGACAGCCAGGAACCCAGCAGCACAAGUGGCCCCCCCAGAUGCUUUGGGGACCACACCCCCACCACUGUGACUUCAGCACAGUCUGGUACCCAGGACUUCAGGAUCCUCCUGGGAACCCUUCAGCAUAAUUAACAUGGGCAGAUGGGACCUGAAGGGGCUGUUGGUCCUCCUGAAAAUGCUCACCAGGCAGUGUGAGUGUGGGGAGGCCAUGAGCAAUGUGUGGGACCCUGUCCUGCACCCGCUCAGAGCCUCAGCCCUGCAGAGACACUGGAAAUGAUUUGCUGCAGGUGAGGUCACCCCUGAUGCUUCUCUGAGGUCUCUUUUCCUUUCAGAUCUUGAGGACCACGUGACUGCACGCCGAAUAAACUAGGGCUCCCCGACCUGGUCGACAUAAGGGAAUCCCAUCUUGGCCAGGUGUGGUGGCUCUCGCCUGUAAUCCCAGCACUUUGCGAGGUCAAAACAGGUGGAUCCCUUGAGGUCAGGAGUUUGAGACCAGCUUGGCUAACAUGGUGAAACCCCAUCUCUACUAAGAUACAAAAAUUAGCUGGGCAUGGUGGCAUGCACCUGUAAUCCCAGCUAUUUGGGAGGCUGAAGCAGGAGAAUUGCUUGAACCUGGGAGGGGGAGGAUGUAGUGAGCUGAGACUGUGCCACUGCACUCUAGCCUGGGUGACACAGCAAGACUCCCGCUCAAAAAAAAAAAAAGAGAUCUCAUCUCAAAAAAAAACCAACUUUACAUAAUGUUGUAAAAAUCAUUUGCUACACAUCAGCUAUUUCUGACAAGUUUUAACUACAGGCUAGAAAAUCAUAAACUUCAAAAUGAUUCAUUAUGAGUUGCUAGUCUAGUCUCUUAUUUAAAUUACUCUCAUUCUAGCGAGAGAGGAUGUGAUUUCCAGAGUCAACGUGCCUUCGUUUGGGCUUGCUCUUUACUCUUUAUCUUAUUAUUUUUCAUUUCUAAACUCACACAGGUGCAGACCUUUCUUUACACAAAGCAGAGCACAUGGCCAAGGAAAGGAUGUGAUUUCCAGAGUCUGUUUCUACAACUGCCCUAAAAGUACAAAUACUUUAAGAAAUGUAGUAGAUUGAUUUAAAGUCACAAUACAUUAUAAGUGAGAAUUUUUCUCAAGAUAAAACAGAAAGAUGCUAGGUAUAUCAAAAGGGAUGCUUCAGAAGAGAACCACACUAAAAGGAGAUUAAACUCUCCAAAACAAAGCUUACCUACUU